rnacentral:misc_RNA from 1 species
GUUGAGUUGAGUUGAGUUGUAUUUAUUUUUCUCUGGUUGAUGAUCUUUCAGCUUUCCUAGGGAAGUAUAAUAUCUCAUUUACUAGACUGUUUUUGCUUGUUUGCUUGUCAAGGGAAUGAAAUUCCUCCAUUCUUUUUACCUUUUCUCUUUUAAGAUGCAGGCUGAACUAACCCAUUCUAGCACAACCCAUUGAUAUUGGCCAAAUUUCUCCCUCCCUUUUCAUCUGUAUGUGCAUACAUGAGUAUGGUUUACUAAUGCUACUUAUUUUUCACAGGAUGCAUACAGAUUGCAGUUGAAACUAUUUCUUUAUGAAGUGAAGCAGCAACAGUUG